CAGCUUGCUGUGGGUGGAUGAGUGGCGAACGGGUGAGUAACACGUGAGUAACCUGCCCCCGAUUUCGGGAUAAGCCCGGGAAACUGGGUCUAAUACCGGAUAUGACCUCCGGACGCAUGGUUGNUGGUGGAAAGUUUUUCGAUCGGGGAUGGGCUCGCGGCCUAUCAGCUUGUUGGUGGGGUAAUGGCCUACCAAGGCGACGACGGGUAGCCGGCCUGAGAGGGCGACCGGCCACACUGGGACUGAGACACGGCCCAGACUCCUACGGGAGGCAGCAGUGGGGAAUAUUGCACAAUGGGGGAAACCCUGAUGCAGCGACGCAGCGUGCGGGAUGACGGCCUUCGGGUUGUAAACCGCUUUCAGCAGGGAAGAAGCGAAAGUGACGGUACCUGCAGAAGAAGUACCGGCUAACUACGUGCCAGCAGCCGCGGUAAUACGUAGGGUACGAGCGUUGUCCGGAAUUAUUGGGCGUAAAGAGCUCGUAGGUGGUUGGUCACGUCUGCUGUGGAAACGCAACGCUUAACGUUGCGCGGGCAGUGGGUACGGGCUGACUAGAGUGCAGUAGGGGAGUCUGGAAUUCCUGGUGUAGCGGUGAAAUGCGCAGAUAUCAGGAGGAACACCGGUGGCGAAGGCGGGACUCUGGGCUGUAACUGACACUGAGGAGCGAAAGCAUGGGGAGCGAACAGGAUUAGAUACCCUGGUAGUCCAUGCCGUAAACGUUGGGCACUAGGUGUGGGGGACAUUCCACGUUCUCCGCGCCGUAGCUAACGCAUUAAGUGCCCCGCCUGGGGAGUACGGUCGCAAGGCUAAAACUCAAAGGAAUUGACGGGGGCCCGCACAAGCGGCGGAGCAUGCGGAUUAAUUCGAUGCAACGCGAAGAACCUUACCAAGGCUUGACAUACACCGGACCGGGCUGGAAACAGUCUUUCCCUUUUUGGGCUGGUGUACAGGUGGUGCAUGGUUGUCGUCAGCUCGUGUCGGGAAAUGUGGGUUAAGUCCCCCAACGAGCGCAACCCUCGUCUAUGUUGCCGCCCCGGUGAUGGUGGGAACUCAUAGGAAACUGCCGGGUCCACUUCGGAGAGGGGGGAAGACGUCAAUCAUCAUGCCCUUUAUUUUUUGGGG
rnacentral:rRNA from 1 species